UCAAAGUAUGCGCUGCCUCGCAUUUUGUUUUUAUUGGCUUGACACAAGUUCUACCCCUUUCAAAUGGAGCGUACUGCGCAUACUGGACUGCUUGAACCAACAUUUCACAAAUAUGAAACCUUAAAAAGAAAAAGCGUUGGUUCAAAUCAUUUAUAUAUAUUGAAAAGUUUCGUUGAAAUAUUAUUGGUGCAAAACAACUCUAUCAAAACAACAAAAAAACUCUAUCUGUGACUGAUUGACUGCCUGCCCAAGCAAAAGCUAGGAAGUCAAAGCUGUUGUUGACGCUUCUUUUCGAAUCAAUAUUAUCAAUGUUUUAUAGGGUAUACAAGUGCGUGGAAGCUCUAUCUGUGUCCGAAGUUUUUUUCUGUUCGCCAGCAAAUUGCAUGUCACAAAAGUGCGCUUGGAUUUGGAUUGAGUGUGACUGUGUCUGUGUGUGUGUGUGUUUUGUGUGGCUUUGGAAUAUUGACAUUUGCACAGUUUUAUGAGUACCUGCGAUCAACAUGCGCCCCGCCCAAAAAUGUUUGCUCGGCUGUCUGGUCGGCUGUUUCUAUGGCUCUCUCUGGCUGGGUUACUGUGUCUGUUUUGUGGUUUGGUGGUGCGCUUGUUAGACAUUUGUCAGCUUUAUAGCAUUUGUGGCCAGCCGCCAAUUGACAAGGCAUUUGUUUUCCCAUGACUUAUGAGUGUGUUGGCGGUCGGCGAUGGCGAGGUUAGGGCAGGCCAAGUGAAUUACCAUAAAACUUGGCCCCAACAUGUCGAGCAUUAAUAUCAGUUGUGUCCCAGCUCUUGUGCUCCAGUUCCCACAGUCCCCAGGCCUGGACGACCUGCUGCCAUUUGGAGGCCAGCCAGGACACAUUAUGCGCCCCUCUGAGCGCAUUACAUGUGUAGCCACGUUUGGGCAAAUGAUGAUUUAUACGGGCCAGGACAGGCAGCUCGGCAGCCAGGCAGACCGGGUCCCGUGGACCUACCCCCAGGCUGUCAGGCGUUGUCCAGCCGCACCUCCUGCUUCCGCUUCAGCUGCUGAUAAGUAUAAAACACACUCGGCCGACAUUUUCAUUUUCAUUUAGCAGCAAAUGCUGUGAAAAUAUUUUAACUGCAUUAUUUUAGCAUUUGUCGUGGCAUGUAUUUAGCAUUUGGCUGUGCAGAGCACUUGGAAUUAUAAAUAUGCACAGCGCCCAACCCAGCUCAGCUCAGAUCGUGUCCUGGGGCUCCGAGCAUUUCCAUUACUGCUGUCACAGCAAAUUUCUAGAAUUUAAAGUGCUUCAAGACAAUAGACAGCCCUGUAAAUGCAAAUAACAAAUUAAAUUUAAUGGCCGGACAGCAAAAUGCUCGUAAUCAAGUCAACUAAUCCGUUCAAGUGCAUUCAAAUUGAGAUUCAUUUAGCACGACUGCCAGAUGCUCUGCUCGGCUGUGCAGCAAUCCAACCGAAUGGUCAUACUAGCUGCCAAGCCACGCCCACUUUUGUCAAUUACAUACACUUGCAUAAGCCGAACAUAUCCUUUAACACUCACUUCAGUUGCUUGACAAGGUGGAAGACGAGAAGCAGCACAUUUUGCUGCCUGAAAACCACACACACACGCACACACACAUAAAUACACAGUGUGUGUGUGUGUGUGCAGCAUGCAAAAUAUUUAUGUUGAUAAAUCAAGUUUGCUUUUGUGGAUUAGGUGUAUCUAAAAUAAAUUGAAUUUGUGGCGUAAAUUAAGGCCAAACAAAA